rnacentral:rRNA from 1 species
UACGAAGGGUGCAACCGUUGCUCGGAAUUAUUGGGCGUAAAGCGCACGUAGGCGGCAUAGCAAGUCGGAUGUGAAAUCCCUCGGCUCAACCAAGGAAGUGCAUCCGAAACUGCUGUGCUUGAGUACGAAAGAGGAUCGCGGAAUUCCAGGUGUAGCGGUGAAAUGCGUAGAUAUCUGGAGGAACACCGGUGGCGAAGGCGGCAUCCUGGACCGGCAUUGACGCUGAGGCGCGAAAGCCAGGGGAGCAAACGGG